UAAAUACUCCCUCCGUCCGGAAAUACUUGCCGGAGAAAUGGAUGUAUCUGGACAUAUUUUAGUUAUAGAUACAUCCAUUUUCAUCCAUUUCCGUGACAAGUAAUUCCGGACGGAGGGAGUAUAAA
rfam:Triticum aestivum genome assembly, contig: Triticum_aestivum_CS42_TGACv1_scaffold_526914_6DL